CCCAGACUCCUACGGGAGGCAGCAGUGGGGGAUAUUGCACAAUGGGGGGAACCCUGAUGCAGCGACGCCGCGUGGGUGAAGGAGCGUUUCGGCGCGUAAAGCCCUAUCGGCAGGGAAGAAGGAGGACGGUACCUGACUAAGAAGCCCCGGCUAACUACGUGCCAGCAGCCGCGGGAAUACGUAGGGGGCAAGCGGUAACCGGAUUUAAUGGGUGUAAAGGGGGCGCAGACGGCAGCGCAAGCCAGGAGUGAAAGCCCGGGGCCCAACCCCGGGACUGCUCUUGGAACUGCGUGGCUAGAGUGCAGGAGGGGCAGGCGGAAUUCCUGGUGUAGCGGUGAAAUGCGUAGAUAUCAGGAGGAACACCGGUGGCGAAGGCGGCCUGCUGGACUGCAACUGACGUUGAGGCCCGAAAGCGUGGGGAGCAAACAGGAUUAGAUACCCUGGUAAC
rnacentral:rRNA from 1 species